UACGAAGGGGGCUAGCGUUGUUCGGAAUUACUGGGCGUAAAGCGCGCGCAGGCGGUCUUCCAAGUCAGUGGUGAAAGCCCGGAGCUCAACUCCGGAAAUGCCAUUGAAACUGUAAGACUUGAGGAUGAGAGAGGUGAGUGGAAUUCCCAGUGUAGAGGUGAAAUUCGUAGAUAUUGGGAAGAACACCAGUGGCGAAGGCGGCUCACUGGACUGGUAUUGACGCUGAGGUGCGAAAGCGUGGGGAGCAAACAGG
rnacentral:rRNA from 1 species